rnacentral:lncRNA from 1 species
AGUGGACGGAUUUGGUUUGUUUACGGCGUAGACGAUUCGAACGUCCCCAAGUUGUGAUUGAACUAUUUUGUGGUAAUACACCAAGGUUUGUGUAUAAACUUUGUACUCUUUUUGCUUGCUAGAAUAUUUUAAAAUAACCUAAUAUUUAUUUUUCUUGUUUUCAAUUUAUAUUGUUAUAUUCGUAUUAUAUCAAUUAUUGUCAGAUAUUUGCUAAAUCGCCCAUUUGUACGGAUUGUUUGAUCAUUUUGCAUUUUUUUUUGGGACUACGUCCUUCUUGUGGCGGUGACUUUGUCACUCCUCUUGGCAUGCCUCUUGAUUUGGAUCUUUUUCCAUCUUGACUUUGGAUUUGUAGUUCGUCUUAAAUUAUGAAACUUGUCCGUGUUAAGUAAGAACUAGGAAGCCAUUUUUAAUAUGAUUCUUGAUUCUCUUGACUAUUGGGUUUUGACCCUACUUGAUUUGGGGCUUCGGUCCAUCUUGAUAUCUGAUUAUGCUUAGUGUGAUGGCAUGACGUACAUAUUGGGCGAAAUAUGGAUAUUUGGUAAACUCUCUUGGAUUGAUUGUAUACACUUUCUCGACUCUUGAACAUUGUUAUUGAUAUUUAGAAACACUUCAAAGUUUGAUAUUUGAUAUGUUUGAUAUAUUUAUUCACUUUUUUAAAAUUAUGUUAAAUUGAGAUAACUAUGACAAAAAAAGGAGAAUUGGAGAAUUUAAUGACUCCAAGCCCAAAGUUUAUAUGCCACUAAGAUUUAUGCUUAGCAAUAGUUGUUUUCUAUCGAAGGUAAUGUACAAGAUUAAAUCUGAAGACGACCAUUAUGAAGUAGUCUUUUGGGAGCACUUAUGAAGAUCACAUUUGUAUAUGCACCUUGAUUUUGCAUAGUUUUGUGACAUGUAUAUGAUAUAUAUAUAU